AAUAGAAAACUAGAGCAACGGCAUCAGAAAUAUCUACUUGCAGAGACUACCAAAUGUGACCUUCAGCUGAGUCUGCAGACAGCACAGCAUAAACUGAAACUGCUGGAAAUGAAAUAAGCAGUAUGGAGCACGAGCAUGCUGUGAGAGAACGUGGAUACGAAGUUCGUCUUAAGGAAAUGGAAGACAUCAGUCAGAAGUCAACUGCUGAGCUUAGACUUCUGUUGACAGCUCAGCAAAAAGCAACAAAUAGAUGGAAAGAGGAAACAAAAGUGCUUACUGAAACUACAGAAGCUAGGAUCAGUAAGUUAAAGAGUUAUCUGAGUCAACAAAAACUUUGUAAUCAGGAACUCAUUGCUCAGCUGGAACUGGCAAACAAUGAAGUAAUUGAGGAAGGUGAAACUUCAGCUGAAGAUGACUCUGACUGGGGAAGUCAUAUGAUUCAUAUUAGAGCUGGAAGUUCUUCAUAAUGUGUCAGCACUGUGCUUUCAGUCUUACUGUAGGUGGUAAACAGCUCUGCUUUUUAAGGUCCUCUUGCUUUAAGCUCUUCACUACACUACGCAUGGAUCCAGAGAAGAGAACUUCAUAUUUGUAACAAGAUGCUUCAUUUACACAGGAUGAAAAAUUAAUGACGGAAUAUCAGAAACAUAUCAAUAGGCUUCAGAUGAGACUGAGCCGGGCAGAACAGAGGGCAGCUACAGCAUCACAAAAGCUCAGCACAUUAACUACAUGGAAGAGAAAGGCUACUUCUCUGAAGGAACUAGAAAAUAUUUAACAUGAAACAUGAAUAAUAUUCGCACCACAGUGGAGGUAACAAAGAAGGCUGGCUGAAGGUCCAUACUGUCUCUGUUUGCAUGGCGGAGAUCAGAAGAAUGCAAACUGAUAAGAGCCUGCAGGAUGGAGGCAACCGGAAGGAAAAUUUCUGCUUACCUCAGAGGAGUUUACUGUUUCUACAAUUGCACAUGCACCAGCACAUUGUUCACAAACUGACUGUUGGGAGACAGAUGGUGUUGUCAUCGGUGUUGGUGGAGAUCUACAGCUUGAGAAAGGACAACUCGUCAAAGCUUUGCUAAGAAAGACAAGGCCAAGGCUUCAGGCAGAUUUAAAUGAUGAAGGCCUGGAAAAAUCACCUGGUGAAGGAUCUGUGUUCACAACAAGAGGUUACAGUCUGAGUUGCAGUUACGUGUUUCAUGCUGUCACACCUCGAUGGUCAGAGGGAAGUGAAUCUGCAGUGAAGGCGUUUUCAAAUGAAUGUGAGAGACGGUGCGGCAGUGAUGUAGAUGAGGCUAGCGAAGGCACGGGGCCUCUUUGCGAUGCUCUCAAAGCUACGUUCAGAUCAACAGCAAAAGCACCCUGAAAUGUCGCCAGUGCUGUCCAGUUUAGUGGGACUGGAGAGUGUGGAAAAUGAGUAUUUGUUGAAAACUCGAUCAAGUUUUUAGAAAUAAUACGUAGACAAAAAAGUUGCUGUCAUGCAGUUGAGAACUUGCCCCAAAACUCCCUUCGAGACAGGAGCAAAGGAGUGAGAUUUGCAAAGUGUGCUGCUGUCGUACCUCUGUGCUUCAUGAAGACUAAUACAGAUAAGCGUUGCCAAGAAACAUCUCUAUAGCAGGAGUGUGGUAAAACGUGUUUGUUUUUUCCCAAUAUGUCAGCAUAAAUAGCAAUGAUGGGAGCAAGCGAAGGUUGGUCUGAGACCCCCAUGAGAAGGAAUGAUUUUCAGUUACUGAUGCGGGCAGCGUUCUCACAGUUUUCUUUGGUUGCAUUUCAAGCCCAUCACAGGAUGUAUAUGAGAUGACAAUCGGCUCCAUGAAGUUCCAGGUGGCCACUCCUGAUAUUACCAAGGAAACUGGAGAUGUCAUUGUAAACAUAUCAAACAAAACCGUCAACCUUCAAACAGGUACUUCAGUUGGUAUUACGUGUGGAAAUAGUGUACGUGGUUGGGAGGAGUAGGUGAGGCGAGGGGGAAGCUUUCUUUUAUUCUGAUCUACCGGAUAAUGUGUUUUAAGACUUGCAGAAAAGUGAAAUUAAUAACUUGAAUUUUUCAAUAGAAUCUCUUCAGAGAACAUCUCUUAGAUUAAGGGAGAUUAUUGUGUUUUU